rnacentral:rRNA from 1 species
CAGGUGGUGCAUGGUUGUCGUCAGCUCGUGUCGUGAGAUGUUGGGUUAAGUCCCGCAACGAGCGCAACCCUUAAGCUUAGUUGCCAUCAUUAAGUUGGGCACUCUAAGUUGACUGCCGGUGACAAACCGGAGGAAGGUGGGGAUGACGUCAAAUCAUCAUGCCCCUUAUGAUUUGGGCUACACACGUGCUACAAUGGACAAUACAAAGGGCAGCGAAACCGCGAGGUCAAGCAAAUCCCAUAAAGUUGUUCUCAGUUCGGAUUGUAGUCUGCAACUCGACUACAUGAAGCUGGAAUCGCUAGUAAUCGUAGAUCAGCAUGCUACGGUGAAUACGUUCCCGGGUCUUGUACACACCGCCCGUCACACCACGAGAGUUUGUAACACCCGAAGCCGGUGGAGUAACCUUUUA